UCCCAUGAGAUACGUUGGAGACUACAACGUUGAUAGGUCACAGGUGUAAGCACAGUAAUGUGUUCAGCCGAGUGAUACUAAUAAAUCGAUCGCCUUUUUUUA
rnacentral:rRNA from 1 species